rnacentral:lncRNA from 1 species
AUGAGGUUCUCCUGGCUGAUCGUCUCCUGUCCCUCCUAUGAAGACAGAACAGAGACACAGUUCUUCUGUCUGAGGAACUUGUACCCGACACCUUCAUCAAGCAGCACAGUUCCUGUCUCAUCCACCCAGCGGACGCUGUUUAGUUGACAAGGACCGAGUUCAAUGUAUCUCGACAGAGAGCACACUAAUGUGACUUCACCGUCCCUCUUUGGAUCAGCGUCUGGAGGAGAUGGAGAGACUGAGAGAAAACAAGAGAUAACUGUUUACUCAGUGUAAAAAAUGUUUGAGCGACUUUACUUAAAGGAAAAUUCCGGUGCAAAAUGAAUCUGGGGUUAAUAACACAUGUGUACCGAGUUGGUCCGUUCUCUGGGAUAUGUUUUCAUGCUAAUCGACCGUGACCGGUUUUAGCACAAACUGCUAAUUAGCUUAUAACGCUAGUCAACGGGGCACCGAGUAACGUGAAAAGAAAUCACUUUUUAUUCCACUAACAAGACUCAAAAUAGCACCACACUUACACGGUAGCAUAAUGAGGGUCCCUACCUAUAAACCGAAGCAUUGAGAACUUUGUAAGUGUACAGACAGUUUAUUAAAAAGAUAGUUUAGAACAACAGUAGCGUUCGCGUAUACAGGCGGGCGCUAUCUUGGGAAAACAGUCAGGGGUUCGGUCAUUCAUGCAGAUCAAUGAUCAAGAUUUACAGCUGGCGAUGUGAACUAAAACAAACGUAAUUUGCUCAAUAUAUCAGAAAUAAUCGCACCGAUGUAAAACACAACUUGUCUAGUGUACUUACUCAGUGGAUAACUGUCCAUCUGGUCCCUCCGCUAUGAGUCGCUGCGAGUACAGCUCUGUUUAUCAGAGAGGGGAAAUCUGUACUGACUGUACAAAACACUGCGUCUCUUGGGUGUCGCGACGCAACAGGUCCCACUCACCACCAGUUUAGCUCUCUCUCUCUCGUAGCCCUUUCACGGAGCUCCCGCAGCUCUUCGUCUGUAUAUUCCGGCUCCAAAAGAUAAGGACGUCCAUCAAACUGAAAGGGUUCGUUGUCGAUGUCUUCAAAUUCAGUUGAAUAAUCCGCCAUUUCUUUAGUGUGUAUCCUGUGGAAGCACUAGUCUCUGUUGCGUUCAGUGCUUCUCUUAUGUGCUCAGUGCUUUCUUCCGGCAACAACGUUUCCAUGGAGACGUGAAGUGAAUCUCGCGUGAAACGCUGAUAAACAGAGCUGUACUCAAAACUUUUUCCACGUCCCAAAAAUAAAUUGGAGGCAGCGACUCAUACCGGAGGGACCAGAUGGACAGUUAUCCACUGAGUAAAUACACUAGACAAGUUGUGUUUUACAUCGGUGGGAUUAUUUCUGAUAUAUUGAGCAAAUUACGUUUGUUUUAGUUCACAUCGCCAGCUGUAAAUCUUGAUCAUUGAUCUGCAUGAAUGACCGAACCCCUGACUGUUUUCCCAAGAUAGCGCCCGCCUGUAUACGCGAACGCUACUUUUGUUCUAAACUAUCUUUUUAAUAAACUGUCUGUACACUUACAAAGUUCUCAAUGCUUCGGUUUAUAGGUAGGGACCCUCAUUAUGCUACCGUGUAAGUGUGGUGCUAUUUUGAGUCUUGUUAGUGGUAUAAAAAGUGAUUUCUUUUCACGUU